rnacentral:rRNA from 1 species
CCUAAUACGUGUUCCAUGAAAGCGUAAUCAGCUCCUAUCCCAGCGAUUGUAAAGACCACAUACCGCUCCUCCCUAUUCCAUGUCCAUCGUACCCUAGGGCUGGAUCCAGGGUUAUUAGAUCGCCGCCGCCGCCAGCAUACGGCUGCAGAUGAAGGCCACAACUCUUCUCUCCGGCUAUCCCCGACGCCAACCCACCACGCCAUGUCCGCCGGACCGACGACGGCCAGGACGACGUCCGGCGUCCAGCGCUGGAACGAGGAGCUCGACCAGGCUGAGCUAGGCGUCCAACCGGACAAGGCAGCAGUCCACGCCGGCGAGUGCGUGCAUGGCCCACCCCUCCGCCCACGGCGAUGCGGCUCCCGGCUGCGCAGCCGCAGCGUGGAGCAUCCGCGCGUAUGUGUAUGCGUCAGCGGCCACCCUACACGCUGCAUCUUCAUGAAUACGCCUAUUAAAUCCAGACUUGCAGCAAGGCGUCGCCGCGGACUUUACUGACCCAACGCUGCCGUGAUGGCCGCCACACUCCUCACGCGGACACCAUGGCCUGGACGCAGCAACGUGACACCACAUCACUACGCCUACACUAGAUUCAGCAAAGGAACUCCGGCCCAUCCAACUUUCAGGUUUGGAACAUAUUCCUUUGUGUUUCACAAAUAACAUGACAGAGUCCUAUGCUUUUAGUUCUUAUUAGGUUGUGUUUCACAAAUAACAUGAUAGAAAAUCCUAUGCUGAACUGGAAUAAAUUAUUCAGAUUCUAUUGUGGUAAAGACACGAUAUCUUCCUUUUGGCAAGCGACAACAUCUGGAAGUCUUUGUAAUGAAACACUAUGACUAAGUAAUGAUCGUACUACUUAACAAUGUAAAAAGAAAUUAAUGAUCAUGCUCAACUGAAUUUUCUCUGAUGUGAGCUGAUGUUGGACUCAUAAUAUGUGAGUGCAAAACCCCAACAAGGCCCCGACGUGGAUCUGAAAACUGGUACGAAAUGCACAAGACACUGAAACUUCCUCCUGAUUCAGUGCAGCCAUACAUCCUUCAGCCUUCUACACCACGCCGGCAAGCCGGAAAGUGCUACUCCCUCCGUUCCAAAAUAGAUGACUCAACUUUAUACUAACUUUAGUACAAAGUUGGGUCAUCUAUUUUGGAACGGAGGGAGUACAACAGUGGCAGCGCUCUCCCAGGCACUUGGGCUGCCCACAACUCCUACAAAAUAAAUUGGCACAAGCUUACUCACAUAGAUUUGCAGAUCGGCGCGUGUUAAAAAUAUGUACAUGCAGAUGGAUCAUUCGCAGAUCAUCUUUAUCAGGAAGGACUACUUCUCAAGCGACUACUGCCUUUAUCAAGUAAAGGAUCUUUGUCAGCAGUACAUUCUUUGAACUUUAUUAGUUAUAUCAUCUCACUCUUCCUAUGUUGUAUUGUUUGUACAUAAUGAGUAUUGCUGCUCAAUGCAACCACUAGAAUGCAAUGAUUAGUAACUCUUCUUGCACUGUUGCAUCUAUAUGAUUGACCUUGUAUAUUCCGGGUUGACAUGCCAUUAUAUUUGACUGUACUGACAUUGAUGAUAUGCAUUUGAUGACAAUAGCAAAAUUAUAACCUAUUGGCAUGUAACAUUCUUUGAAAUGAUAUGACUAUGUUUUUUUUUCUUUUACAACUUGCUUACAGAUAUACUCCCCCUGUCCCUAAAUAUGUCUUUUUAGAGAUGUCAAUAUGAACUACAUACGGAUUUAUAUAGAUGUAUUUUAAAGUGUAGAUUCACUCAUUUUGCUCUGUAUAUCAUAUUGGAAUCUUUAAAAAGACUUGCAUUUAGGAACGGAGGAAGUACAUGUUUUCUGCUUAUGAUAAUUUGCCGGAGCAUUUAGGGGUAGUGAAUUAACCAGAAAACUGAACGUGCCCAAGUAAAAAAUAAUAUGAGAAGAAAAUUUAGUCUGAAUCAUCGUAGCCAUAAAUCUCACACUAUAGCUCUGCUGGUAUAUUGCCGACACCCUCACCACUUCGCCCGCCCGCUGGAUAUAUUGCUACUCCUCUACGGAUGUCUUUCUUCUUUGCAGCUCUGUGUGCCAUGUCGGCGGCCAGGUUGACCGGUGGUGCCCAUGUCAUAUGGGUUGGGAUGUAUCGGUUUUAGCCCAGUUUUCCGUCAAUUAACCGUGCAAUUCUCUUCUUAAUCAAUGAAAAUGGCAAGUCUUUUGCCUUGUUUCAAAUGUUUUUUUACUCAGCCAUCAAAAAUGCCAAGCCUCAAAUCUGCAUUCAAAUUGCUAGGAAGCUUCUCCUAAUUUCUGACCACUCCUAAUUGGACUCAUACAACAAGUAUUAUAGUUCUUUCAUACAAGUUGAGUAUACUGAUUUUGUACUAAUGGAGAUUGCCCUCAGCCAGUGAAAUAUCCAAUUUCUGGAUCACCUCAUUUCCCAAUUCUAAUCUAUCUAUAAUCUUUUUUGAGAUAUUAAGAUUGUAUCCAUGACAUGGGAAAUGUAAGUAGCAUGUUGUGACAUGCAUGGAUUUGCUUUUUCUAUCAAUGUUGAUGCUCCAACAUCUGAUCAAUGGUCCUUAUUUUAGAUUCUGUACUAUCAUUGUACAUAUUUGUUCCGUUAUAUAGUCAUUGUUGUUGUAAAUUGUUUAUCAUAAUACUGAUGAGGAAGAAUAAUCUAGAUGUAGUUCCGACAACGUCAAUGGAUCCUUCCCCGCUGCAUGGCUUGGCCGAAGUUGGGUGAAAGAGUUCAUGGGGCCAGAGAAAUAUGAGUUGGACGUCCGAACAAUGCUUUCAGGCGACAUUUGUUGUAGCCCCACAAGCUUAAAAUGAGAGUACAGUUGUGCCAAACAUUGUUACGUAUUUUGAUUUCUUUGUUGGUUCCUUUCAUGGCUAAAACAAUGGUAUGCCCCUUGCAACAUUUUUUUCGAUAUAUUUCUGUGCACUAUGCUAUUUCCGG